rnacentral:rRNA from 1 species
UACAGAGGGUGCAAGCGUUAAUCGGAAUUACUGGGCGUAAAGCGUGCGUAGACGGUUACAUAAGUCGGGUGUGAAAGCCCCGGGCUCAACCUGGGAAUUGCAUUCGAGACUGCGUAGCUAGGGUGCGGAAGAGGGAAGCGGAAUUUCCGGUGUAGCGGUGAAAUGCGUAGAUAUACGGAAGGAACACCAGUGGCGAAAGCGGCUUCCUGGUCCAGCACCGACGUUCAGGCACGAAAGCGUGGGGAGCAAACAGG